AUUUGCUGCGCGGGAGUUUGUUUGGAGGAGAAGGAUUUGAAGGAAGGGCUAUUUGCGGUGAGUAGUGUGGAGGAUGCGGCGAAUAUAUUGCUGCCGCAGACGGCGGAGCAAAUGAGAGAGCUUAUGGGUUAUACGUUUGUUAAAGCUCCGGCCAAAGUGUUGCCGUCCUGCUUGCUUACUGACUUCAUCGAUGAAAUGUUUACACAAUAUGUAGAGGAGAAGAAAGAAUUGCUUCUUGCAAUUGCUAAAGACAGAAAGCUUUCUGAUUUACCUAAGAU
rnacentral:misc_RNA from 1 species